rnacentral:rRNA from 1 species
GACGAACCGUGCGAACGUUAUUCGGAAUCACUGGGCUUAAAGCGCGUGUAGGCGGGGCGGCACGUCGGUCGCUGAAAUCCCCCGGCUUAACCGGGGAAGGGGCGCCGAUACGACCGCCCUGGAGGGACGUAGGGGGAGCUGGAACUUCCGGUGGAGCGGUGAAAUGCGUUGAGAUCGGAAGGAACGCCCGCGGCGAAAGCGAGCUCCUGGACGUCUGCUGACGCUGAGACGCGAAAGCCAGGGGAGCGAACGGG